rnacentral:rRNA from 1 species
CGAACGGGUGAGUAACGCGUAAUCAACCUGCCCUUCAGAGGGGGACAACAGUUAGAAAUGACUGCUAAUACCGCAUAAGCGCACGGUACCGCAUGGUACAGUGUGAAAAACUCCGGUGGUGUGAGAUGGAUCCGCGUCUGAUUAGGUAGUUGGUGAGGUAACGGCCCACCAAGCCGACGAUCAGUAGCCGACCUGAGAGGGUGACCGGCCACAUUGGGACUGAGACACGGCCCAA